CACCGACACCGGAUCUACACUUGUACGACACGGUCGGGCGGGGUGGGGGAAUGUGUGAUCGCAGCUUCCUUCUGGGCAAAAGAUACAAGCUUUUCCUGAUGAGAUAUAAAUUGGAGGGGUUUUGUUUAUAGUCCUUAUCAUCGAAUUGCUCUACUAUUUCCUGCAAGGUUACUGCUUAUUUCUGAAACAUCCUGUAUAAGAUAUGUUGAGCCCAACCCCCGACGUCCUCCCGUUUACAAAAGUCGACCGGUUUAACAAACGGAAAAGUUCGUCCUCUUUAACAAAACGUUAUUAUUGGAGGCAGUUAGUUUCGAAGCCAGUGAUCUAUGAAUCCGGGGAUCGCUUUUGCAUCAUACAUCUUCCAACGUUUCGACCCCCGUUGGCACUCGCGUGUAAAAUCCUGACGUUUAUCUUGGAUUUUUUUUGCCUUGAGGGCGGACUCGUCGUUCCGGACCUUUUUCUACUGAACUUGAUUUUUACCUGUAUUAAGGGCUCAGGUUUCACAAAGAUAGUCCGCGCUGGAUUCUCAGUAGGAAUUGAAUAUGCCUUGUGAUUCGAUUAUUAUUACACUGGGAGAAAUGAAAUAGUUGGAUUUACUAUGCUGUGUUAAUUUUCCAUUUAACAUUUCAUAGUUGAAUCCUUUCAUAGUAGAAAAAGACUCAACUAAGAGUCGUUAAUGGGAAAUUAACACAGCAUAGUAAAUACAACUGUUUUCAUUUUUUGUCAUUGUAGUUAAGCAAAUCUGUCCAAAUACAAGUAUGUAAGUAGCUUUUAAUUUUUUCCAUAACAGAAAAAUAAGCUCUUCCAGCAAAAGAGACGCAUUCAGGUCGUACUGAACCAAAACUAAUACCACAAAUAUCUCAUUUUCUUCAUUCAAACAUGGGCGUCAUCACGUGUAGCUUAAUCAUGUAAAAAUAUCCAGGGCUCACUAAUUGUAAGACCUAACUAUGGAUUUUCGUACCUCGGAAAUCAUAAUAAUUUUUUUAGAUAAAUGUAUGUCAAAAAGAAGAAGCAGAUAUAAUCUCAUAAGCUCAAC